CGUGUAGCGGUGAAAUGCGUAGAGAUGUGGAGGAACACCAGUGGCGAAGGCGACUCUCUGGUCUGUAACUGACGCUGAGGAGCGAAAGCGUGGGGAGCGAACAGGAUUAGAUACCCUGGUAGUCCACGCCGUAAACGAUGAGUGCUAGGUGUUAGGGGGUUUCCGCCCCUUAGUGCUGAAGUUAACGCAUUAAGCACUCCGCCUGGGGAGUACGGCCGCAAGGCUGAAACUCAAAAGAAUUGACGGGGGCCCGCACAAGCGGUGGAGCAUGUGGUUUAAUUCGAAGCAACGCGAAGAACCUUACCAGGUCUUGACAUCCUCUGAACACUCUAGAGAUAGAGUUUUCCCUUCGGGGACAGAGUGACAGGUGGUGCAUGGUUGUCGUCAGCUCGUGUCGUGAGAUGUUGGGUUAAGUCCCGCAACGAGCGCAACCCUUGAUCUUAGUUGCCAGCAUUCAGUUGGGCACUCUAAGGUGACUGCCGGUGACAAACCGGAGGAAGGUGGGGACGACGUCAAAUCAUCAUGCCCCUUAUGACCUGGGCUACACACGUGCUACAAUGGAUGGAACAAAGGGAAGCGAACCCGCGAGGUCAAGCAAAUCCCACAAAACCAUUCU
rnacentral:rRNA from 1 species